UACUGCAUGAUAACCAUUCUGGUUCUGUCCAGAACUGGUUUUUUGCUCCCGAAAUCAGUUUUGGACCAGAAACCCGUUUGUUAACGCAAUUUAAUUUUUCUAUUUCCGGGACAAGUUUUUGUCCCGGAACUCAUUUUGGACCAAAAAUGAGAAACAGAAAAAACUAGGUUUUUCGUUUCUGGACCAAAAGUGAGAACUCAUUCCCGAAGAAAUCGAUUUUCUUCAACACAUCUCUCUCUCGUCUCCUUCGAGCUCUCUCUUCUGCCCGACUCUCUCUCUACUCUCUUCUGUUGCCGUCGACAGAGGAAGCCAAGCCACUCGUUCGCUUGCUCCGACCGAGAGGAAGCCAGGGCCGCUCGCUCCUGCUCCACUCGGGUUCGAUUUCCACUUCUUCGAAGUGUUCGUGUCAAAAUUCUUCGAGGUUCAACUCAGGUAUGCAAUUUCUUCUUUGAAAUCUUCGACUGGGAGUUCUUCAACUGUUCUAAAAUUUGCGAAUCUUGUUGAUUUAACUCUGAUGAUUUGUGUUUUUUAAAAAUUGAUGUGCAUCUCCGAAGUCUUCCACUGCUUGGGAGUUGUCCGAAUAUUAUGAAUUCUGUGAAUGGAGGAAGAUUUCUAUAGAAUGAUUUCGGUGCAAUUUUUUGAAACCUCGUUCAACAUUAACGUAGGUUUCCCCAACUGGAUGGGGAACAAGAAUUGCUAACAGACUUCAUAAGCAUCAUUCCCCUUUUGGAAUGAUAGCUAGCAAAAAAUGCAAUAAUAUUGUAGUAAAUUUAACUUCAGUUUUCCAUCCCUGUGACUUUGCCUUUUGCGCAUGACCAUUCGUGGGAGUUUGGCGUUCGUUGCUUUCCCUCGGUCAGUUUGGGAAAAAUUUGGUUGUUUUUAGUGUUUGAUUCGGGGGCUGAUGCUGUCGUGAUUGCUUUGUAUGCGUCCCCUAUUUUGUCAAUUGAUUGAAUUGCUGUCCUGGGAUUUGAGAGUGUAACAUGAUCUGUUGGGCGUUCGCAUCAAAAUUACAUAAGUUGGAUAGGACUCCAAAUUCCAGUGAUUAUUCUUAUUGGAUGAUCAACUCUGCCGGUCUUGUCAGUGACUCGGUUGUUGGUGAUUUUUCUUAAAUAGUUGAUGGGUGGUUUGAGCUAACCCUGGAAAGUUUGGAUCGUUUGGCAAAUUCUUGGCCUGGUCAAUCGGCAUUUGUUGGUUGUUUGCGUUUUGGCAGGAUUUGUCUGAUUAGAAGCUGUCUGGCAUAAUGUUAGAUCGGAUGAUCCUUUUUUUUCUGAAUUUAUUGGAUGAUAUCUUCCCUUUCUCUUAGCUGGGGGGGAUCUCUUUUCCUUCGGCAUCAUUGCUUAAAUGCAUCUUUUUGCAA